ACCCAAAAGUCUUCCGUUUCAGAAAAAAAAAAAAAUUCAAACCCAAAACUCACUUUACGAUUUAAUCUCCAUUCUCUGCGCUUUCCCAACCAUUACUUAUCGCAAUUCACACCCAAAACUCUUCCGUUUCAGAAAAAAAAAAUAAUAAUAAUUCAAACCCAAAACUCACUUUACGAUUUAAUCUCCAUUCUCUGCGCUUUCCCAAAAUAAGAAAUACCAUUCUCUGCAAUUAUUCUUUCUUCUGAAACCUAUAUUGUGAUUCUCAAUCCUCUCAAAAAAUCACCAUGAUCAAUACCAAAGCAAAUUAUUUUUCCAACCCUAAAAUCCAUACCAGUCUUUCUAUUUGUUCCACGCUAUUCAAAUUCCAUGAUCGACUUCUCGCAAGUAAGUUUGCAUCAAUGGCAUCAAGAGAACUCAAAAUAUUUUUUUGUUCAUUCAAGUUUCAACAAUGCUCAGAGCAAUUCUUAGUGCGAGAGAACUAAUUGAAACUCUAAUUUGGGUCUUUCGUAUUCAAAUUUAAUUGAAGAAACUUCAGCCAGAAUAAUACGAAGAAGAAGAUCUCUAACUUUGAAUUCAUUCCAUUCAUGGGGAAGAGAAUUUAGAUUUUGGGGAAGAAGAAGACAUGGAAUUGCUCAUUCUACACACCCAACUUUUUAUCUCUAGAAUCACAAUCUCAUAAAUCCAAGGAAGGACGCUCUUCCAUCAAUAAAAUUGAAGAAUAUGGAUUUGAAGUUUGGCCACUAUUAUGAAGUGAUUCAGGAUGUGAACAUCUACCGAUACUCUCAAAUCAACCAUGAAAAAAAAUUGUGUAAACACUGUCAUUGCUCAAUAGCAGAGAAGAAAAGAAGAGAAAUAAGAUUUUGAUCGCAUAGCUCGUAUUUCUCCUACCGUAAUUACCACCGUCACCAUCCCCUGCUAAUUCAUCAAUUCAUUCUCAUCAUCAUCAUAUUGAAGGUACCUAUAUAGUAUAUAAUAUCUCAUCAUCAUCAUAUAUAUAUAUAUAUUAAUCAUCGUGAUGAUGCUAUAUAUUAUAAUUGGCACUAAUUCCUACCUUACUCACAUUAUUUUUUACAUCUUAUAUCAUGACUUAAUUUGUAUUAAUAGGGAAAAUAUAUAAGUUUCCUUUUAAUUAAGAAUGUAGCGAAUUGUGACUAUGAAACACUUCUAUUAAAUCUAUAUUUCUUUAUAUUUUAAUUGAAGUGUUAUGUUUGAAUAAUAAUAAUUUUUCUUUAUGAUUUUUAUUAUUGUUUCAACUCUUUCUACACAUAAAAAGUUACUAAGGAAAAUUUCAGAGAAAAAAUUAUAUCAUAAGCAGCCAACUUGAAGAACUAUUGAUGGAGAAGUGUUUGAAGAAUUUACACCAUAAUAUACAACCAUCAUCAAAUAGUGUACAAUAGCCUAGAAUUUUCACUUCAAUACAACUUCAUUUUAGCAUUAUAGCUUGGUAGUGUUAUCUUAUGUUUGAUGAUGCACUAUUUGGACUGAACAUGGUGAGGACUAAGAGUGUUGUAGCCUCAAGGCCUCUUUACAUUAAGCUUUAAUAUGUCCUACUUUUUUAGGAACUACUAUGUCAUCUUUACUUUGACUUGGAGUUUAGUUUGAGAGAGAGUGCAAAAAAAGAUGUUAUUUUAUCACUGUUAGGAUUCCAUGUUUUGCUCUCCAAGCUAGAAAUGCGGAUAUUAUAAUCCAAGACAUGUAAUGUUCUCUUUUGCCUUUUGUACCCAUCCUUCUUUUUUGUUUUUUCUCUCUAAGAUCUAUCUGCUUCAUGCUAUCUAAUUUUAUUAAUAAUAUAAGUCUUUAUUGGAAUGA